ensembl:lncRNA
CAAUAAUGAAACACCAUUCCCAGGAGAGGUUCUCUGGCUCUCAAAUUGGCGCUAUUGCGGUUGCCAAUUCCCCGCUGAUUCACUGAACAAAUCCUGCCAUUCUCCCCUACAAAGUUUGUUCACAGCUUCGGUCCUCAUGCCUGACAGAAAACAUUAGCAACUUAUACCAAACCUGCUUGGAUAUCAUCCUAUUGAAAAAGCAAAAGCGCUGAAUGUUCCAGAUUGCGAGGAUCUUCUGUGCGCAGCCCUCUUUAGGUCACCCCACAGAUGUUCAAUUGGAUUCAGAUGCCAAAAUUGACUGGAAUUUGGAGCUGUUCAUAACCCCCUCCAUCUUGACCGAGGACCCAGUUCCAGCAGAAGAAAAAAAGUUUUGGGGGUGUUCCCCCCCCC